rnacentral:lncRNA from 1 species
UUUUUUUUAGAGUAUGUGUAUCUCUCUUAACAAUAUUAUUUCUAAAAUUUAAAUUCUAUUUUUCUUUUAAAAAUAUAAUGUAAGUUACAACUUCACCCAAUAUUUUAUCAUGAUUUAUGAGGGGUGUUAAAACUUAUCUUCUUUUCACCAAUGUAUGUAAAGCUACGAUACCCUUUCUCUUUUUAAGUAUUUAUAUCCGAUAUUUAAGUUGAACAUACACAUGUCGGACACGUAAAGGUGCACUUGUUUGAUGAAGGGCAAGACUCCCAAGACGUUGCUCCUAUUUUAGUUUUGCUUUUCCACCUUGUCUGCUA